rfam:Choloepus hoffmanni cont1.168130, whole genome shotgun sequence.
UGCUUGUGAGUUUAAAUGGGUGGGGUGCUAAGUAUAUCUUGUUUACCUUAUCUUUUAGUGGAAAAAGUUUUGAAGUCAAGAUGGGUUUGUCACAUCAUGCCUGUUGCCUAGCACUACCAAAGUGUCCUUAUCUAGCAACAGAGAAUAGGUUGAGGUUCUAUCUUGGC